UACAGAGGGUGCGAGCGUUAAUCGGAAUUACUGGGCGUAAAGGGCGCGUAGGCGGCCUUCUAAGUCGAACGUGAAAUCCCCGGGCUCAACCCGGGAACUGCGUCCGAUACUGGAAGGCUUGAAUCCGGGAGAGGGAUGUGGAAUUCCAGGUGUAGCGGUGAAAUGCGUAGAUAUCUGGAGGAACACCGGUGGCGAAGGCGACAUCCUGGACCGGUAUUGACGCUGAGGCGCGAAAGCCAGGGGAGCAAACGGG
rnacentral:rRNA from 1 species